UUAGCCUCUUCGGACUCACCUUCUCCGGUGUAUUUUCCGAGCUGAGCCAACGAAUUUGCCUUGGCUCGGGCCAAGAGGGUGGUCUGUGCGGCGUUCACGUUCUCGGCUCUGCCUCCCCAUGUUUUCAGACAAGUGUUCUGCAGAGCGCGUGCGUAGGAGAAGGACACAUGCCACGGGUUUGGUGCCUGGUUCAUCGCGUUCAGGUUCAACGUUGCCUCCAACUCAGACUGUCCUCCGGACAAGAACUGCGAAACAAGGAAACAGAAACGACUUUACUUUCAUCUCAAGCAACACCAAGAUUAGGGUUUCCCUCAUGAAGACAUUGAUUUUCAAUCAAAACCGAGCUAUUAUUUAUUUUAUUUUACUUUUCGGAUUUUUGAUACUGUUUAGUCAAAGCAAAGAGAGUGAGAGAGCUUGCCAUGAUUCCGGGGACGGCAGGAGGGAUUCUGUUGCGGAGGAGCUUGAGGGUGUAGGAGGCAACUUGUUCAGGAGUAGCUCUGUCUUUAGACUCAGCUCCGGGGGUCACCAUGCUCGGUUUCAGGAGGAUACCUGUGUGUAAGAUUAUGUUGAGCUUAUCAAGUAUAUACGUUGAUCAUUUUUAUGACGAUGCAAGUUGUAUAAUAAAGAUAGUCUUCAAAUAAUUAACGAAAAUACCUUCAAACAUAACAUUGUUCUGAGCAAGGUAGAAGAAAACCUCAGCCCAAACCUUCUCCGCUACUUCGUAAGUCCUGUCAAUGUCGUGUUCUCCAUCCAACAAGAUCUCUGGCUCCACAAUUGGAACUAGUCCACUGUCCUGAAAAGACAAAAAAAAAAAAAAAAGAAAAAAAAAACUCAAUAUAUAUCGCGUGUGAAACAGCUUAAAAGAAUCCGAAUUGACCUGUUACUUGAAGGACAAGCUAUGUGUUUUACCUGAGAAAUGGCAGCGUAUCGAGCAAGACCCCAAGCAGCUUCUUUUACGGCGAGAGCAGACGGACCGUUAGGAAUGCUCACGACAGUACGCCUAAUCAACCACCAACCAAGACGGAAAAAAAAUUAA
rnacentral:lncRNA from 1 species